rnacentral:rRNA from 14 species
AAAACGACUCUCGGCAACGGAUAUCUCGGCUCUCGCAUCGAUGAAGAACGUAGCGAAAUGCGAUACUUGGUGUGAAUUGCAGAAUCCCGUGAACCAUCGAGUCUUUGAACGCAAGUUGCGCCCCAAGCCUUUUGGCCGAGGGCACGUCUGCCUGGGUGUCACAA